GUAAAGUGGCGCACGGUGAGUAACGCGUAGAUAACCUGUCUUCAUGUCUGGAAUAAUACGCCGAAAGGGGUACUAAUACCGGAUAUUCUUGCUUUUCAUAAGUUAUGCAAGCAAAGGUGGCCUCUGCAUAUGCUACUGCAUGAAGAGGGGUCUGCGUACCAUUAGCUAGUAGGUGGGGUAAUGGCCUACCUAGGCGACGAUGGUUAGCGGGUCUGAGAGGAUGAUCCGCCACACUGGCACUGGAACACGGGCCAGACUCCUACGGGAGGCAGCAGUGAGGAAUAUUGCGCAAUGGGGGAAACCCUGACGCAGCGACGCCGCGUGAGUGAAGGAAGGCCUUCGGGUCGUAAAGCUCUGUCAAGAGGAAAGAAGUGUACAAUGGCUAAUACCUGUUGUAUUUGACGGUACCUCUAAAGGAAGCACCGGCUAACUCCGUGCCAGCCGCAGC
rnacentral:rRNA from 1 species